UACGGGGGGGGCAAGCGUUGUUCGGAAUCACUGGGCGUAAAGGGCGCGUAGGCGGCUUUGUAAGUCGGGGGUGAAAGCCUGGUGGCUCCAACCACAGAAUUGCCUUCGAUACGUGCAUGGCUUGAGACCGGAAGAGGUAAGGUGGAACUGCGAGUGUAGAGGUGAAAUUCGUAGAUAUUCGCAAGAACACCAGUGGCGAAGGCGGAGCUUACUGGUCCGGUUCGUGACGCCUGAGGCGCGAAAGCGUGGGGAGCAAAGCAGG
rnacentral:rRNA from 1 species